CCUACGGGGGGCUGCAGUGGGGAAUAUUGCACAAUGGGCGCAAGCCUGAUGCAGCCAUGCCGCGUGUGUGAAGAAGGCCUUCGGGUUGUAAAGCACUUUCAGCGGGGAGGAAGGCGUUAAGGUUAAUAACCUUGGCGAUUGACGUUACCCGCAGAAGAAGCACCGGCUAACUCCGUGCCAGCAGCCGCGGUAAUACGGAGGGUGCAAGCGUUAAUCGGAAUUACUGGGCGUAAAGCGCACGCAGGCGGUCUGUCAAGUCGGAUGUGAAAUCCCCGGGCUCAACCUGGGAACUGCAUUCGAAACUGGCAGGCUAGAGUCUUGUAGAGGGGGGUAGAAUUCCAGGUGUAGCGGUGAAAUGCGUAGAGAUCUGGAGGAAUACCGGUGGCGAAGGUGGCCCCCUGGACAAAGACUGACGCUCAGGUGCGAAAGCGUGGGGAGCAAACAGGAUUAGAUACCCGAGUAGUC
rnacentral:rRNA from 1 species